CAGGAUCUUUCUCUCAUCAGCAAACGUGUUCAUUGUUUGUUGCAGGGGAAUAUUUUCUUAUCUGCCUGUGAAGAACGGACAACAGAGUACGCUCAAGUUCAGUGAGAUUGGAUGGAGGGGUUCUCAUAGACCGGACCUGGAUCCAUUCUAACACCUGAAUAUUCUGUAAGGGGCUGCCUCCAACGUCCCAUCCACUCUGACCAACACCACCGUCCCUGCUGAGGAGGACAGCAUGACGCUGCCUCCACCAUGCCUACAGCAGGGAUGGGCCCUUCCUGUGCUGCUGAACUUCACACACAGCGUUGUCCCAGUCGGACAAAGUUAUCUGACCAGAGCACCUUCCUCCACGUUUGCUGUGUGCUCCACAUGGCUCGCCGCAAACUGCAAAUAAACUUCUUAUGGCUUCUUCCACAAAGUUUAGAUUUGUGAAUUAUUUGACUAAUAGUUAACAGAUUCUCCCAUAUAACUAGGGGAUCUCUGCAGCUUUUUCACAGAACAGCUGAAUUUAUGCUGAGGUGCAAAGCCACACAGGUGGACCUUUCUACUAAGUGAUUUCUGACCGUAAAUGGCUGCACUGGAUUUAUUUAAGAGUAAAAGAGUAGACAGGACUCAUCAGAGAUGCAUGCCAAACCUGUUUUCAGAUGUUCAUUUGUAAAAAAAA